rnacentral:rRNA from 1 species
CAGAGGGUGCAAGCGUUGUUCGGAAUUAUUGGGCGUAAAGAGCGUGUAGGCGGCUUAGCAAGUCGGGCGUGAAAGCCCUCGGCUCAACCGAGGAAGUGCACCCGAAACUGCUGAGCUUGAGUGCCGGAGAGGAUGGCGGAAUUCCCCAAGUAGAGGUGAAAUUCGUAGAUAUGGGGAGGAACACCGGUGGCGAAGGCGGCCAUCUGGACGGUAACUGACGCUGAGACGCGAAAGCGUGGGGAGCAAACAGGAUUAGAUACCCUGGUAGUCCACGCCGUAAACGAUGAGAACUAGAUGUCGCGGGUGUUGACCCCUGCGGUGUCGCAGCUAACGCAUUAAGUUCUCCGCCUGGGAAGUACGGUCGCAAGAUUA